rnacentral:rRNA from 1 species
AGAGUUUGAUCAUGGCUCAGAUUGAACGCUGGCGGCAGGCUUAACACAUGCAAGUCGAACGGUAACAGGGAGGAGCUUGCUUCUUUGCUGACGAGUGGCGGACGGGUGAGUAAUACUUGGGAAUCUGGCUUAUGGAGGGGGAUAACUACGGGAAACUGUAGCUAAUACCGCGUAAUAUCUUCGGAUUAAAGGGUGGGACUUUCGGGCCACCUGCCAUAAGAUGAGCCCAAGUGGGAUUAGGUAGUUGGUGGGGUAAAGGCCUACCAAGCCGACGAUCUCUAGCUGGUCUGAGAGGAUGACCAGCCACACUGGAACUGAGACACGGUCCAGACUCCUACGGGAGGCAGCAGUGGGGAAUAUUGCACAAUGGGGGGAACCCUGAUGCAGCCAUGCCGCGUGAAUGAAGAAGGCCUUCGGGUUGUAAAGUUCUUUCGGUGAUGAGGAAGGUGUUUGUUUUAAUAGAGCAAGCAAUUGACGUUAGUCACAGAAGAAGCACCGGCUAACUCCGUGCCAGCAGCCGCGGUAAUACGGAGGGUGCGAGCGUUAAUCGGAAUGACUGGGCGUAAAGGGCACGCAGGCGGUGACUUAAGUGAGAUGUGAAAGCCCCGAGCUUAACUUGGGAAUUGCAUUUCAUACUGGGUCGCUAGAGUAUUUUAGGGAGGGGUAGAAUUCCACGUGUAGCGGUGAAAUGCGUAGAGAUGUGGAGGAAUACCGAAGGCGAAGGCAGCCCCUUGGGAAUAUACUGACGCUCAUGUGCGAAAGCGUGGGGAGCAAACAGGAUUAGAUACCCUGGUAGUCCACGCUGUAAACGCUGUCUGAUUUGGGGAUUGGGCUUAGAGCUUGGUGCCCGUAGCUAACGUGAUAAA